GGACGAACGCAGGCGGCGUGCUUAACACAUGCAAGUCGAACGUGAUUUAUGUGGAAAUUCUUUCGGGAAUGGAAGCGAAAUGAAAGUGGCGAACGGGUGAGUAACACGUGAGCAACCCACCUUACACAGAGGGAUAGCCGUUGGAAACGACGAUUAAAACCGCAUGAGACCACAGAAUCGCAUGAAUAGGGGUCAAAAGAUUAUCGGUGUAAGAAGGGCUCGCGUCUGAUUAGCUAGUGGAAGGGUAAAGGCCUACCAAGGCGACGAUCAGUAGCCGGUCUGAGAGGAUGAACGGCCACAUUGGAAAUGAGACACGGUCCAAACUCCUACGGGAGGCAGCAGUGGGGAAUAUUGCACAAUGGGGGGAACCCUGAUGCAGCGACGCCGCGUGAGCGAAGAAGGUUUUCGAAUCGUAAAGCUCUGUCCUAUGAGAAGAUAAUGACGGUAUCAUAGGAGGAAGCCCCGGCUAAAUACGUGCCAGCAGCCGCGGUAAUACGUAUGGGGCGAGCGUUGUCCGGAAUUAUUGGGCGUAAAGGGUACGUAGGCGGUUUUUUAAGUCAGGUGUGAAAGCGUGAGGCUUAACCUCAUUAAGCACUUGAAACUGGAAGACUUGAGUGAAGGAGAGGAAAGUGGAAUUCCUAGUGUAGCGGUGAAAUGCGUAGAUAUUAGGAGGAAUACCGGUGGCGAAGGCGACUUUCUGGACUUUUACUGACGCUCAGGUACGAAAGCGUGGGGAGCAAACAGG
rnacentral:rRNA from 1 species